UUGGUGCCCUGCCCCCACGACAAAUUUUGGGCAUGCAGUACGCAUGACAGGAAGCCCAAAAGCACAUGGCGGUAACUUCAAUUUAUCUCAUCUUUCUGUGGAAUUAUUUUACAUGUUGCUACUAGGCUGUUAAGGAGUUGAAUGUUAGCUAAUGUCAACAGCAAGUAACCGAUAACAGCACAUCCACAUGUGGUCCUUCCAAUCCUGCCUGGUGUGUGCUGGAGGAAUCAGAAGUAAUCAGAGUCACCAAGUCAAAGUCAGCUGCCAUGAUGCAUACUUGUAUACAUGUACAUGCGCAUGGUGAUCAGGACCUCUUGAUGAGACCAUGAUAUUUGUCAGUCUGGCUCUGCAUCACUCCAGCACCUUGUUAUUCUCCUGAGUAAACCAGAUGUUUGCCAUCAGCGUUAGCUCACCAUUUACCAUGGAUGGCAGUAGCCAUGAGUUACAGUGUACAUGAUUCCAUGAUACCUCACGCCGGUACACAUCUACAUGCCACACCUCUGCAUGAUUUCAAGCAGGAAAGUGGACCCUGAGUUCAGCUCCAGAAACCUCCCCACAACAGCUGUCAAGAUCUGAUACCAUUCUGAAGUAAUCUUCAUACAGGGCAGCUCUGGACAUUUAGAGACUUGUCUUGGAACAACUGAAGCACCCUGGUAAUCUCCUGCUCUCUGGCAAUCAGCAGCAGAGUUCAUGCAUUUCUUGACUUGGUUCCUGCCCAUGAUGUGCAUUUGUAUGUGUGACAUCUCAACGCAAUGGUAACUGCUAGGAUUUGUGUUGAUAUGCAGCUUUGAAUAUGUGAGCCGUUCUGCACGUACAUGUAGUUACACAGCAACCAUUGGCCAACGUGACGUUCUUCACUGUUUAGCAGUGGAGCUCUUCCAGUCUUUGCAGCAUGGUAUACAUGGUGCCCAAUUUUACUUUGAUGCAUGUCUGCAUCAACGCAUGGUCAACAUGGCCGUGGCAACAAAAGCACUGCUUGGAAUUGUUGGAAAUAAGAAAUCUAUAGCUCACAGAUGACCUUUUUUGGAUGAGUUCUGUGGAUGACUAAGUCUUCCCCGACUGAAGCUCCUCACUUACCACUGGAUAAUCUGGAGUGUAACUCUAAUAUGUGUGUGAGAGAAACAUGACAUGAUACCUUCAAAGGCUCCCAGCACAGGGGAAGUCAUUGAAAUAUUCACUGGAUACACUGUAACCAGCUCACUUGAGGCUUUAACAUGGUCAUCAAGUCCUCACUAGAAGCACAGCAUGAUUCCCAACAGGAUACCAGGCUCGUCAUACAUCACAGGCAGCCACCAACCAUAUCUCAUCCCUGCUGAAAACUUACAAUGCCAUGACAAGAUACAGUACCUGUAACAUCGGGGAGCCAAAUUCAGCCAUUGAAGUGGAGAUGUUCAGCCAGAGGAAUACACAAUCAGGGGAUAAUUAGUUGAAGCUGCCAGACGAGUUGGAUCACCUCGACCAAUGCUGUCAAAAUUUGAGCUGCAUAGAAAUCCACAUAUAAAUUAUUUGAUCUGACAUCAGUAUGCAUUCUUGAUGUAUGGAAAUUGAAGGAUCCAUCUCGCAGAACUGGAAAUCGAACACUUGUGUGUUACCAGUGACUCCGUGAUGAAGGACUGUGAACUUUUGCAAUGAACAUUUGAAAAAAAACAAUAGUGCCAUUUACAUGUAUGGCAAAAUACAUGUACUUGUAAAACCAAGCCUCACAGCCUCAACACUGUUGCUUUGAAGGACUUCGCUUUAAGUAAUGGAAUUGGCAGAAGAACAAGAAAUUACUGUUCAGUCGCUCAAAGCAGCCUGAUUCUUAUUCCUACAUGUAUAUUUCUUCAAAGCAAAUGCCACACCACAAGCUCCAAAUCUUUCAGUCAAAUAUUCAUUAUACAUGUACAUGUAAUCUACAGUAUGGUGUGCAUUCUUGAAGUCCUUCAGCCUUCCAAGGGCAUUCUGAGCAAUUCUUAAAACAACUUGAAGGCGUUGCUCAGUUUUCACGUUCACAGAGAGUGUUAUCAUCUAAAACCUGUGCAUGUAGCUCUGCACUGCACUCCAAAACUUCUUUGUGAGGCUUGGUUUUUUUUUCAGUGACCAUUUCCUAUUGUUGCCUGUUGUGGCUGGGUACUGGAUUGGUAAAUGAAUCUUUGUUCUUCGUGGCUUGCAGAAAGUGUCAAGUGCACAAGUUUUUAGGAAAAUAAACAAAGUACAUCUUAAUUUCUUUGUGAAACACAAAACUUACAGGGUUGUUUGCACCUUGAACUGUAUAGGGUACAAUGUAUGCACGUACAUGUGCACGUACGGUAGAUAUAUUCAUGUGUCUAUUUGAAUUCUUGUAAAUUUUUUCAAUAUCUUCCAAAAUCUGAGCAUGAUAACCAUGUGUAGACUCCAAACAGGAGGACCCGCAUUUACCAAUCUGGUACCUGGCAGUAAUGUGUAUAAUCAGCACUGGCACAAACCAAAAAAGGAAACCAAUGCAUAUAAGUUACAUGUAGGUUUAUUGAAUUUUCAGGCACAUUUAUGUACUACAGAGCAAUGUGAAAAGCAAUUCCUGAAAAAUAGAUCUCAACCAGUAUUUAUUUUUGACCACUUUAAAUUGGACUAUUUUGGUAAUGUAGGGCAACUUAUGAUGGAAAGAAUGCAUGAAUCAAUAGUCUAUUUCCAUAUGUAGGAGUUAUGAUAAAGAACAUCAAUAAGGCAUAAAUCACAACCAUUUUUUUUUUCAGUCUUUUACCAUGUUUACCUGUAAAAUACAAACUCUAAAUUCAAUCUCAAAAUUUAGUGGUAAGCUACCAGUACAAAGACAUUUCAAGAAACCUCAUUUUAUUUAAAAAUUAAUACUUGUGAAACUUGAUUUACUCAGUUUCUUCAGAAACGAUUACCUUAGGAUGGUAUCUACAUUUCCUGUGAUUUAUCAUUUCAAACUCAUCCACGUUGUCAAUUGUUAAAUUGCAACCCAUAAUUCCAAACCCAAGUUGCUUCUCAUCUUUUAGAAAAAUUUUAGAUUCUAUCCAUUUGUCAGAUCAAACUUUUUAAAGUUGAAACUGUUUAAAGCAAUUAGAAUUUAUUGCAGUUGGUGCCAAGUGCUGAUUAUACACCACAGAGCUGCUGUUUUAACACUGCAAUCUGCUCUUCACCAACAGGCACUCUCAAAAUCUCUCGAAGCACCCUAGCGCAUACAAGUCCCCCCUGGUGUGGGCUGCGUGUUCCCCGUCCACAGGCGCCGACAGGUUCCGGUGAGUUGCCCUGCUGCAUAACUUGCGAUUGGUUUGUUCGGGAUGUGUCCAACUCUUAUUCAUGGAUGCUUCAGUCAAUGCAGCGGGGUAAGGAUCCUCUGGACUCUUACAACUGGUUUAUUUUUCCACCAAAAAAAAUGUAUCCAUCCACCACUCCAAACUGUUGCAAAUUGAUGAGACAUUCUGCAUCUGCUCUGAAAUUGCUCGCUGGAUGUUUCAAGAAUUCCAUGGUAUUGUGGUCUUUGAUCAAUUGAACUGAAAACUUGCGAUUGGUUACUUUUUUUGGCUUUUCUCUGUUUUUUAAAACGUUGUUGGAUACAAGGUCAGCAUUCUUUGCUCCUUUAAUGGGUUACUUCCAUGGUAUAGCUCUUUGUCAACACCUUCCAUCGGAAAGUUGUGAUUGACAUGUUCCAUUUUGCGCAAGCAAAGUUUUAAUUAAAAAAGCAAGAGUCCCAUUUUUGAUGGUACAUGUACCAAAUAAAAACUGUGCUGUUUUGCGCACAGAAUGUCAGUAAGGAACACAAUGUACCCUAAGUAUACACGUACCUAUCAAGACAAGUGAUUAACUGCAGCUAAAUGUUCAUUUUUGGAAAGAUAAACGGCAAAACAUUGCCAGGUAUAUACCCCAUCUAAGGCAGCACAGUUGAAAAGCAAUCCCUUAUUAAAAGGGGACAUUCAAUCAAAAUGUUGAAGUUUGCUAUUUGACUUUAUAUUGGCUCAAGAAUACACUUCUUGUUACUGAAAAUGAAGUCUCAACAGAAAGCAAAGGUACACGUACAAAAAAUGUGUACGUAUCAUUUUCCAGUUUUUGAUCUUAGUGCUCUCUGCUUUGCUAUCCUGAAUUUGAAGUGUCAGUGAAACAGGAAAAACUACGUCCUUAAAAAUGUGCCCAAAACGUCUUCUCUCAGUUUGAAAUUAAAAGUGAGUGCCCUUCUCUCAUAGUCUCUGCAGUGUUUUGUAUUGCUUCACACUUUCAGAAAAUAGUGUCUGUAAGAGCCAUUUUUCUGCAUUAAAAAUUAAAAACGGCAAAAGCACUUGAAGAGGUGAAAGAGACAUGACAUCGAAACUGCUGUGGAGAAGUCUGGUGUGCUGAAAGGGAAAAAUGUGCUGUUUUUUUCUUGGUGGGUGAUGGGCCCAGGCUGUUCACUCAGAUAGUAGAGGGGUCACAUGCUCAAUCAGAGGAAAAUCUGGUGAAAAAACCUCCAAAGGAACUGUGGUCAUUUCACAAAUGCUGUUUGUUGAUUUUUAAUUCAAGUCAAUUUGAUGCAGCAUUGCUCAUGCGUGGAAGUUUAAGCGAUCAAAAAAAAAAAAAAAAAAACCACAUUAGUAAAUUUUCUUCAGCUUUCAUCUGCCUUUCAGAAGGACAGAUGACAAAUUGUAGAUAAUAUUAAGGUGGCCAUUCACCUUGAGAAAGUUGGUGAAAUGUUAGUUCCGCACAGGAUGAGACUUCAGGGAACUUACCCAUAAUUCAAGAUGGGGUAGAGAAAGUGAAAGUGAAAAAUAGAAGGAAAAAAGUGUGUGUGCCCCUCAAUCGGUAGAGUGAAUGGCCUGGGAGAUUGGGUAGCCAAUCUGCCUUUCAGUAUCCUAUACAGAAACUGUGGCAUCGACACGGGGAGCCAGUCCCGGUUAAAGGGUCCAUGGUAAGUUUAAUUGAAGUUUGUGGUAUUAAUUCAUGCACCAGUGGAAAUACAUCCUCAUGUGUGUUAAAACCCAGAGUACAAAUGGCAAGGAGUAGGAGUCUAAAUAAACGGCGACAGAAUUGCAUAGAUGGUCUUCAGUCUUUGGCAGUACCUUCUUUGGAUUACUAAGGAGAGAAAACUUGAUCAAGGCAUUGACAAUAAUUGAUUCCAUUGAACAAUAUAAUGUCUUCAAAUUUCGGUCUUAUGGCUGACAAAAACUGAGGGAUGUUCUCAGUGACACAGAAUCGUGUCUGCGUUAAUAGUAUGUCGUUAUACUGCCUGCUUUUUUCCAAUCCUACAUGUACUCGUACAUGCACUUCAUUUCAAGCUGCCUGCAGAAGCAGAGACUUGGAGAGCUAAUGCAAUAUCAAACGGGGAUGAUAGUCCCUGAGAGAUCAGUGUUGGCCAGCUCGACACAUCUGUGUCAUGGUAAAGAUGUAGCCUUAUGCUCAGGUGGAGCUACAGCAGGCACUCUGUAUAGACACCCUAUUAAAGCUGGGUGAAGUGAGUCCAAUCUAGCACAGUGACGUGCUUCAGAAAGCCGUGAGAAAGGACAAGAAGAGCAGCUGAAUAACAUUGCCCCUCAGACGGCUAACAAUGCCGCUGUGUCCUGUGACAGUGACAACUUGACGUUUGUCUAUUCUCCAGAGAGUUCCAUUUGGCCAUUCAGAGCCAUUUUGAUGAGGUGGCCGAUCAUUGCAAUGUGUCAGUUUUUUUCAGUUUCCUCUGUUAAAGUGGCUUGUUUUUUGACGUGACAAGCCCAACACAGAGCGAUUUAAUUCAGUCCCUCCCUCGAGCUACCAGUAUUGUCAAUGCCUUGAUCAAGUAACACGCUUGAAAUGAGCAUUAGCGCUUAUUUGUGGCCCUUCAGCAAAUAAUACUAUUGCUGAAAAAAUGAGCAUAGAUGGAGAGAUAGCAGCCCUGAAAGCUGUCUUUGGUCAUGGUGAAUUCAGUAUCCACAACGAAAGAUUGAAAUGUGUGUCAUGGUAGCCUGCUUGUAAUAAGGCAAAUAAAGCUGUUAAACUCCCUGUACAGUAUCCUGUUGUCUCUGGUUUAAAAACCAAGAGAGGCUGUUCAAAAUCUGCUAAGUGAAAAUUUGGUUGGAAAAAAGUCCAUAACGACCAUCAAUUUCAACAGAAGAAUGCAUACGUGCACCGUGUGUACAGGUCUGGUUGAGUACCUGAUUUCAUGGUCAAAGAUUGACCAAUUUCUGUAUUAUUUCCAAGAGGUAGAUUUAACAGAAUGGGAAUUUAUGCAGUGAUGCUGAAUACUCGGAUCAAAAUAUUCCACUUUGUCAGAUUGUCUAAGUUGAAUCAAAUAGUGAAUCAAACUCUCACUGAUCAGUUCUUUUUCCCCCUUUUGGCAGCGCACCCUAAUCCAAAGACAUCAAUACAAAAUCUGUUGAUGUUUUGGUGUUGCAAACUUGAGUUGCAAAUUCUGUGAGAGAAAAAAAAAGACUUUUCAGGGCUUUCGGACAUGAAACGUCAAUUUUCAAAUAAAAAAAAGAUGUUGCCAGAGACUGAAGACCAUCAUGCACCAUGCAUGAAGGGCAUCUUAUCCUUUUGGUCCAAAUGUACAUGUAUUUCCGGUAAAUAUGGCAGCUGUUUGUUAUGUUUUAGGGGCCAAGUUUUCUUUAAGUGAAAGGGUUUAGUAGCCAGCAACUUUAUUCUCAAGCUCAAACUUAAAAAAAAAAAAUUCUGAGUUCGAGAUUUAUAAAGCAGAUGACUACCUUCAAAUCACCUUUGCGAUCAUGCUGUUUUGUACUGAGAUUUAGAUCUAAAAGCUCAAAUGCUAACUAAUACCAGCACUUGUGCGCUGGUUUCAAUAUAAAUCCAAAAACUAGUCACCCUGUUAUCUACACAUAGGUGUUUGAGACAAAAAAAAGUGAUGUCCCGAUGUUCUGUACUAAAAAAAUAAGACGACUAGGGUUUAUACAUGUCCGUCAGACCAUGGUCAAAGAAAGAGUUGACUAUUUAUUCAGCUAAACAUUUUCCUCUUUUCCCCACUUAUUUGAAAAGUUGAACAGUGUGGUGUAUUGCUGCUGGUAGUCAUCUGUUUAAUCGGAAAUACUUUUUUUUUUUGCCAGUUAAAAGAAAGGCUGGUAGAUUUACGUAGUUCAGAAACUUUGGCCCACCCUCGCACAUUUAGCGCAAAGAACAUGUGUACACAUACAAGCUGGAAAAGUUAGUGUUUAAGUUUCUCAUGUUUAGAUAAAAGUUGCUGUCGAAUAUUGCCAAUAAAAUGUCAAUGGAUGAGGUCAUUUACAUGUAUGCCCUUCACUAGGGGUGUGUUCCCUCCACCUGAGCUAACAUUGUGAUGAUUUACAUCAUGAAAUGAUGGUUUGAAGUAAUAUGUUGACAUCAUAAAAUGCCCACAACCUUUCAGUGGUCUGUCAUUCACUAUUAGCUGCUUUUUUAUGGAAAGCAGUUAUGAAGGUAAAUUCCACUGCAAAGCAAGUACAUGUACGUGUACUUCGAAGUUUUGUGAUCACUAUUGUGACUUGCACGAUCCUGCAUUAUUCUGGGCCAGAUUGAAUUGUCAUGAGUUGUUGGUCAUUGCAUGUAUCGGUACAUGUACGUAUUCAGGAUACAAACAUUCCUGAUGCAGGCCUGCCUAGGCUAUUGGGACUGUAAGUGCUGCAUGCAUAGAUAUAUAUUUUGGUCUUCACCCUUGUUCACGUGAAAGGAACACACCUCUAGUAACUGAAGCAGACCCCAGGAAAAUCCACACAUACAUGUACUUAAACAGUUUCCGACAUCAUUGUUUUUAGCUGAAAAGCUGGCUUUCGAAAGAGGGAAGUGCCACAAAAAGUCAUCUGUAUAGCACAAGUAUAUGUUUGAUUGUCACACAAACCUGAUACAUGUAAUUUGCAAACACUCUUGAGGCUCUACCAUGGGGCGAUACAAUAGGGCUGCAUAGAGCAGAUGUGGUGAGUAUGCAUGUCUGCCACUGAAGUCUCAGUAAACAGUUAAUGGUUAACCCUGUCAUCCUGAUUGUGUUUGCACAGCCUCUUA